rnacentral:rRNA from 1 species
AUUGAACGCUGGCGGCAGGCUUAACACAUGCAAGUCGAGCGGAGAUGAGGUGCUUGCACCUUAUCUUAGCGGCGGACGGGUGAGUAAUGCUUAGGAAUCUGCCUAUUAGUGGGGGACAACAUUCCGAAAGGAAUGCUAAUACCGCGUACGUCCUACGGGAGAAAGCAGGGGAUCUUCGGACCUUGCGCUAAUAGAUGAGCCUAAGUCGGAUUAGCUAGUUGGUGGGGUAAAGGCCUACCAAGGCGACGAUCUGUAGCGGGUCUGAGAGGAUGACCCGCCACACUGGGACUGGGACACGGCCCAGACUCCUACGGGAGGCAGCAGUGGGGAAUAUUGGACAAUGGGGGGAACCCUGAUCCAGCCAUGCCGCGUGUGUGAAGAAGGCCUUAUGGUUGUAAAGCACUUUAAGCGAGGAGGAGGCUACUGAGACUAAUACUCUUGGAUAGUGGACGUUACUCGCAGAAUAAGCACCGGCUAACUCUGUGCCAGCCGCCGCCGUAACAC